AAUAGGUAUAGAAAUACUCCUAGAUUGGUGAUUGUUCCUUGUUCUAGGGUGAAAUUGCUAUGUUGGUGUUGUCUAAAGAUUUAUGCCCUCAUGAUGUUUACUUUUGUUUGUUGAUUGGUUAUUACAAGCCAGAGAUGUUAGGAACCUAUGGGUUGGAGGAAUUAGUCCGUCUAUCUCAACGCAGGAUGUAGAGGGGGAGUUUCAAAAAUUUGGAAAGAUUUAGGGGGCAAGGAAUUGUGUGUUGAUUUCCGAAGGUCCAGAGGGAGAGCGGAAAGGUCAGAAGCAGGCAACUUCAACAGUAGAGGAUCAUAGCCACCUGGUGAAACGUGAGUUGGCAUGCAAAGGGUUCUGCUAGAGUACGAAUGAGAGAGGCAAAAAUUCCUACCAAUGUUCUCCAGGUGGGCUUACCCAAUACACAUAAAGUUAACGAGGAGGCACUAAGGCGGGGUAUGGUAGCACAAGGUUUGGUUACAGACAUCAAAGCUUUUCCAGAAAGGCUGUAUGCUUUUGUGGAGUUUGCAACCAUUGAAGGAGCUUCUAAUGCUAAGAAUCUUCUAGAUGGGCGUCUUUUCAAUAAUACAAGGAUUCAUGUUCUUUUCUCCAGCAGUGGGCUUUAUAACAUAACAUCGCUUGUUGAGUUCCCUAGAUCGGAGAUGUACAAUGAUAGUCCACAUGCCGCAUGUGAUUAUUUGGGUGCUGGUCGCAGUAGUCAUGGCACAUCACAAGGGUAUGAUCCUCGACGUGGAAGGUCAAGAUAAGUGGACUAUGGUGCAAUGCCAAUCACUGGGAGUAUCCUUCCAGCACCUGAAGCUGGCUCAUCUUUGUUGUCUGGACAUUCUGCUCAUAGUGCACUUGAUCCGAGAGAAGAUAAAAGGGUGAGGCUAGAUGCUGGCAUCGACCCUUAUACCAUGUAAGGGCAGGCACUGAGGGUCUUCUGCCGGGUCGGGUAGCUUUUUUUAACCUUGAUCUUUAGUGAAUCAUUUUCUACGACUUAUGGAUUGUUUUUCCGGACAUGUAGCAAAUAGUUUUUCGGAUUGGGGAAAAAGGGUCAGUUCGGGGAGCUCUUUUUUUCUUCGGAUCUUUAGCGCAUCAUUUUCUACCACUUAUGGAUGGUAGUGGUGGGUAAUUGUUUGCAACUUCAGGGGCAAAGUCAGGACGAACAGCAGAAGCACAGAUCCAUUUAUCAGUGUUCAAGAAUGUGUUGUGGUAGUGAAGUAUAUUGUGGUCAUUUGUGUUGUGGUAGAGACACUUUCUUUUAUUAGGGUCGGGACGGACGGGCAGAAGCAUGAACCACAGAUACAUAAACUUAU